GUAAUCAAGCCCUAAGCAUUUCCUUGUCUCAAGGAUUUUUGCAGGAUAUAAUGUCCAAGCUGAAACUCAAUGAAAAGAUUAUGUGUGUUGUUUAAAGAGAAGAGGAGAAAGAAAGAAGAUGGAGAAGGAAGAAAUGAGAGCAUCUUUAUCUUAGGAGAGACAUGGACGUCAUUAGAAGAAAUGAAUGGAUCUGAAAAGGAGUCCUUGUUUAUGUGACACCCCAGAUUCAUGGGUUUUAACAAGAUAUACGUUUCCUCACCCAGUCUACUGAGUGGGAUUUUCCUUCUUGGACAAGGCUGAGAUUUACAUACAUACUGACUGUGGAUAAUUCCAAGCCUGGAACCUGAGAUUGGAUGCACCUUGCAGUAUGGCUCUCUCCCAGUUCUUUCCCCAGUUGGACUGGGUCCUGUUUACAGUUUGGCUUUGUACUACAUCAUGAAAUUUCCCAGGGGUUUGCUGUAGUCAUCUAUGGGUUUUUUUUGUUGUUGUUGUUGUUUUGUUUUGUUUUGUUUUGAUGCCAGCCUUUGCGAAAGACUCUUGAUCUGAAUGACUUAUGUUCAUGGUCCUCCUGGAAUAAAAGCCAAUUUUACAACUUCUUGUUGAGCUAGGCCUAGUCAGGUGCAAGAGAAUCUGAAGGCUUUAGUGACAUUGACUUACAAAACACAUCUUCUUUCCGACAUUCAAGGCCUCUAAAUUCAUACGAUUCUUGCACAACAAAGUAAACAAAAUAGACUUUAGGGGAAAACUGACCAUGUAUUCAUAAAGAAAAGUAUUGGGGGGCCACAUUUGUAGCUUAAUUCUUUUUAGCACUGAGUAACACUCCAUUGUCUGGAUAUGCCAAGGUAUAUUUAUCCACUUGCCUAUUGGAAGACAUCUUGGUUGCCUCCAGGUUUCGGCUGUUAUGAAUAAAGCUGCUAUAAACAUGUAUGUGCAGGUUUUUGUGUGGACAUAAAUUUUUAAUUCAUUUGGGUACAUACUAAAGAGUGUGAUUGCUUAAUUGUAUGGUAAGAUUAUGUUUAAUUUUGUAAGAAAUACCCAAACUGUCUUCCAAAAGGGCUGUACCAUUUCUUGCAAUCCCACCAGAAAUGAAUAAGAGUUUCUGUCUCUCCGCAUCUUUGCCAGCAUUUGGUUUUGCUAGUGUUUUGGAUUUUGAUCUUUCUAAUAGGUAUGCAGUACUGCCAUUGUUUUAAUUUGCAAUUCCCUGAUGACAUAUGAUGUGAAACACCUUUUCAUAUACUCACUUGACAGUUCCAUAUCUUCUUUGGUGAUAUAUCUGUUCAGGUAUU